rnacentral:rRNA from 1 species
GGGGAAUUUUCCGCAAUGGGCGAAAGCCUGACGGAGCAAUACCGCGUGAGGGAUGACGGCCUAUGGGUUGUAAACCUCUUUUUUCAGGGAGGAAUAAAUGACGUGUACCUGAAGAAUAAGCAUCGGCUAACUCCGUGCCAGCAGCCGCGGUAAGACGGAGGAUGCAAGUGUUAUCCGGAAUCACUGGGCGUAGAGCGUCUGUAGGUGGUCAAAUAAGUCAACUGUUAAAUCUUGAGGCUCAACCUCAAAACCGCAGUCGAAACUAUUAGACUAGAGUAUAGUAGAGGUAAAGGGAAUUUCCAGUGGAGCGGUGAAAUGCGUAGAUAUUGGAAAGAACACCGAUGGCGAAGGCACUUUACUGGGCUAUUACUGACACUCAGAGACGAAAGCUAGGGUAGCAAAUGGGAUUAGAUACCCCAGUAGUCA